rnacentral:rRNA from 1 species
UACGAAGGGGGCUAGCGUUGUUCGGAAUUACUGGGCGUAAAGCGCACGUAGGCGGCUUUUUAAGUCAGGGGUGAAAUCCUGGAGCUCAACUCCAGAACUGCCUUUGAUACUGAGAAGCUUGAGUCCGGGAGAGGUGAGUGGAACUGCGAGUGUAGAGGUGAAAUUCGUAGAUAUUCGCAAGAACACCAGUGGCGAAGGCGGCUCACUGGCCCGGUACUGACGCUGAGACGCGAAAGCGUGGGAGCGAACGAGG